rnacentral:rRNA from 1 species
ACCGAAUAGAUACCCAGGUAGUCCACGCCCUAAACGAUGCGAACUGGAUGUUGGGUACAUUACGGUACUCAGUGUCGAAAGCUAAACGCGUUAAGUUCGCCGCCUGGGGAGUACGGUCGCAAGACUGAAACUCAAAGGAAUUGAACGGGGGCCCGCACGAAGCGGUGGAGUAUGUGGUUAAUUCGAUGCAACGCGAAGAACCUUACCUGGCCUUGACAUCUGUCGAAUCCUGCAGAGAUGCGGGGUGCCGCAAGGAACGACAAGACAGGUGCUGCAUGGCUGUCGUCAGCUCGUGUCGUGAGAUGUUGGG